rnacentral:rRNA from 1 species
UACGGAGGGUGCGAGCGUUGUCCGGAAUCAUUGGGCGUAAAGGGCGCGUAGGUGGCCCGGUCAGUCUUUGGUGAAAGCGCGGGGCUCAACCCUGCGUCGGCCAGGGAUACUGCCGCGGCUCGAGCACUGUAGAGGCAGGCGGAAUUCCGGGUGUAGCGGUGGAAUGCGUAGAGAUCCGGAAGAACACCGGUGGCGAAGGCGGCUCACUGGUCCGGUACUGACGCUGAGGUGCGAAAGCGUGGGGAGCAAACAGG